CUCAUUUUCUCUUGCUGCUACCAUGGAAGAAGCGACUUUCGCCUCCCGCCGUGAUUCUGAGGCCUUUCCAGCCAUGUCAAACUCAAAAUGUGACUGAAAAACAGAAGCAUUUGGAAUACGUAACAGAAGUCAUUAAAAAGAGCCAUGUAAUAUGUGCCUGCUUCCCCUUCUGCCAUGAUUGUAAGUUUCCUGAUGCCUUCUCAGCCAUGCAGAACUGAAUCCAUUAUUGUUUGCAUUAUCAUUGACGACUGUGAGAAUCUGCAGAAAAAAACAGUAUGGAACUACAACUUCACGUUCUUGAGAAAAGCUUGCAGUGUAAGAUGCGUUUGUUUGUGGUGCCUGAGGAAGAGAGCAGCAGAAAAGAGAGUUGGUAGUGCUGAGCUGCUGAAGGUUCAUUACUGCCUAGCCUUGAGAAUGGAGGCCCCACUGGGUACUCUUCAUAAGAGAUGCCCCAACUCGUCAAAGGAAUUAUGGAGUCUGGAAUUUUGAUAGGUGCUACGCAGAAGGUGCCUUAUGACUAUCCCCUAAUAGAAAUCCUAGGCACUAAAUCCCUAAUGAGCUUCCCUGGUGGACAACAUUUCAUAUAUGUUGUCAAAAGUUGUUGCUGAGGGAAUUAAGCAGAGCCCAUAUGAUUCCACAGGGAAAGGACUUCUAGAAACUUUCAUAGCUGGUUUCCACUGGACAUUGCCACAUAUGACAUUUCCCUUUACUUAUAUGCUUUGCAUCCUUUUACUGUAGUAUAUGAUAGCCAUGAAUAAGACUAUGAGUCCUCCUAGCAAAUCAUCAAACCAGAAGAUUCAUGCGGUUUUUAUAUCAAUGGAUUUCCUAAUAUUGUAUCAACAUCAUAUUCCCAGAAUAAAUCACACUUGAUCAAAAUGUAUC
rnacentral:lncRNA from 1 species